UGUUGCUGGAGAAUUUCUGAGGAUGGCAGAUGCUGAAAAGAGAUGAUGAUAUGCUGGUUUGGAUGUUGCCCUUAUAUAGCUGGAGAAUCCCAAUUCCAAUUUGAUUAGGGUUUUGGAAUCUCAAUUUGAUUUGGUCUUCUUUGUAGUCUUUGAUUCCUCUUUGGAUUUUGUAUUUGAUUGAGAAUGGAACUCUCUAAGUGAAGGGCGUGGCUCUUGGGACUGAUCUAGUGGUGUUUGAAGUGGACUUGGACUUCUUUUCUUUGAAUUUCUAAUUUCUGCCCUUUUCCCGCUCUGCUGUCAACUCCUGCUGUCAAGGUGAUUUGGGCAGUUUCUGCGAGUGAUUUGGGCAAAUCACUUGCUCAUUUUGCCCCAAUCGCUUCCUGGGGUUUAGUCCAGUUUCUGUCUUUGUUUCUGCGAGUGACUUGGCCAGUUCCUGCGAGUGACUUGGGCAAGUCACUUUGACCCAAUCACUUUUUCCAGCUUUUUCUUCACUUUUUCUCCAACUUUUCAAUUUCUUCCUUUU
rnacentral:lncRNA from 1 species